GGACAAAAUAAUUUUUUUUUUAGAACGUCACUUAAAAUGGGAAUAAAGCAUUCUUAUGCCAAAUGGAAAGCAAACUACAUAACGCACUAAUCUUAUGCAGAAUGGGAAAGAUUUGCAAAUUAUAAGACAAAGGCAUCCACCUGAUCCAAAAACUAUACAGACUACUGAUGAUACACUUGAUUAGGGUCACCGUGACAUUUAGGAUGGAAAUAUGUUUCUGUUUCUAGGAUGGAAAUCUCUUGCCAUUCAUCCAAUAUUACUCAUCAUCCAUUCUACUUCUUGCCGCAUGUUGCCUUCCAAAGGCAACGAGUCUCCAUUACCAAACCCAACCCUUGGUCUUUUCUUUAUGGAAGCCGCAGCCUGUGAACCAACACCAAUUGGAGAAACUGGUCUCCCCGUUGAAGUCAAGCAGCUUUCAACGGAGCAAUGACCAAUUCGAGCUGGCAAAUUUGCAGUAUUUUUGUUCUCCAAAGCUGCAGCAAGUUCAGAAAAUGAAGGCAUUUUUAUGUUAUCAACUGGGACAAUUCCUUGGCAUUCACUGGAAACCUUGAUUGCUAGUUCAGAUAACUCUUCCCUGGCAGCUUCAAGCCCAGCAGAUACAGCAGCCUCAUCAUUCAGAGCUUUACAAGCUUUCUCAAGAAUUGACUGUAGGUAUUUUCCCUGUGCUUCAAUUCGAAGUUGAAGAUGACGUUGCACCUGCUUACAGUUAAAACCCUCAAAAAAAGUUCUAAAAACCAUCACUAUGCUAGCACACUUUGUAUUAAAGAAAAGAUUGCAAAUUAUACAACGAAAGGCAACAGAAAUAUAGAUUGCCGCUCGUAUUUGUUUAUAAACCAUUUCCAAAAAUCUUAUUCGUCAAAUAAAUGCUAGGUUAUGACUCAUGACUAACCCACUGUGAAAUUGCUCAACUGUCAUAUGCUAACCUCAAAAAGUCUGAAAGCCACAAUUUGUUGGCCACACCAAAUGCAAGAGCAAGAGUGAAAACUAACCUCUAGCUGCUCAUGCAGUCUUCGUUGGACUUCCAUCUGUACCCGCAAAGCCUCAGUAACCUGGUAGCCACUGUUAAGAUGAAGAAAAGCAACAUUUCAAUGAGGACACAGAGAUAGAGCAAAGUGGCACAAAAAGGGAAAAUAUGCCAUACUCAUUCAGAUCCUGUGCUAUCAUUCUUGAUGAUGUUGAUGAACCAGUAUCCUGACAUUCUGCAACAGACGCUGCAAUCCCAACUACACGCCAUUACUAAAUGAAUUAGAAUUUUAACUUCAUUUUCUCACCAGAAUUUCAUUUUGCAUAAAGAGAACGAUUUCAUUCUAUUCCUUAAUUCUACCUGCCUAAACACACUUCACAUUGCCACCCUCUCUCAAACAUUUAUGAUCUUGCAGGAUCAUUUUAAUAAUUGUCUUAAGCCCCUGAAAAGAACUAUAUAUUGCGGGGAAAAUGAUAGCAUGUGUAAACUCGAAAGGAUUCCAAAGAAAUUGAGUUUCAUACCAUCUUUAGAAUUAUCAUUUGAUUCCUUGCAAGAUUGCCUUCCCAACCUGUAUUUCUGUAAGUGGGAUUUUAAGUGAUAAAGGGUAAGGCCCUUUACCCCCAUUGUUCUCAUAAUAGUCUUUGGUGUUGCUUCUGCAAAGCAUGUCAAGAAACCAGAAAUUUUACUUAAUCAAUCAAGAAUCAUUCACUAGAAUGGUAAUUCAAGUUCACUUAACAUGCUUGUGUUGCCUGAUCACAAUUGGAUUUCAGGAUUCAAGUUGACAAUAUGCUAGGCUUAGCUAGAACCAAGCCAGGACAAAUUGAGAACAAAGAUUAUAGACCUAUAUUUUAUAAUUAUCUUUCCGCUUGAAAUGAGCGAUGAUACCACUAUCACUGAUAGCAGAGUACUGCAAGCCAAGUAUGAAGUCCACAACACUGAAACCCACAAUAAAAGCAACUAGCAUCAUAUUUAACAAGUCAAAUCCAAUAUUUGGCUAAUCAUAUUCAAACAUCUUAAUAUCAGAGCACAGUGCCCUAUACAGACCAUUUACAGAUUUACUUCUAGCUUUUUAGGUCAAGUUAUUACGGGAGUUUGUGCAUGUUAUUCAACACCUGAGCCUCGAAGUAAACCUUGAUGUCUGUGCUCAAGGCAUCAAACUAGGCCUUGCAUUCAUCAAAUUAAACAGUGGCCACCUCACACCCUAUUGUGGAUCAUAGGAUGCUGCAUCAACUAAGGGGCACUACACCCUGUGCAGCAUUUGCAGAUGACUUACUUUUAGAGCAGCUACAGCUCCUUGCAACAAUAUCUCGAAACAGACACAAACUAAUUACUGUUAUUAAACCAUUUUUGGUGGUGAAAUAAAAGGUGUGAGAAAUGAAAACACUGGAUUGAGUAAAUUUAAGAUCAAAAUAAGAAACUGUCUUUCUAAUAGGUUGAGCAAGCCUAAAAAGAUUCAUGAUUGUAACCACUAGAUAACAUCCACGAAAAAACACAACCACACCACAUCUAUCACCACUACUGCACUUCAAAGGAUUGAACAUUCAAGCCACCAUCCAGUCCUAUUAGUGAAUGUUCUCUAUAAGAGUGC
rnacentral:misc_RNA from 1 species